GCCCCUGUGGACCAUGGUGGUCGCCUCGAAUGAAUAGGAUGGCUACUUCGUGUAACGAGACGGAGGUUCGAUUCCUCCCGGGGGCA